GAUGAACGCUGGCGGCGUGCCUAAUACAUGCAAGUCGAGCGAACAGACGAGGAGCUUGCUCCUCUGACGUUAGCGGCGGACGGGUGAGUAACACGUGGAUAACCUACCUAUAAGACUGGGAUAACUUCGGGAAACCGGAGCUAAUACCGGAUAAUAUAUUGAACCGCAUGGUUCAAUAGUGAAAGACGGUUUUGCUGUCACUUAUAGAUGGAUCCGCGCCGCAUUAGCUAGUUGGUAAGGUAACGGCUUACCAAGGCAACGAUGCGUAGCCGACCUGAGAGGGUGAUCGGCCACACGGGAACUGAGACACGGCCCAGACUCCUACGGGAGGAAGCAGUAGGGAAUCUUCCGCGAUGGGCGAAAGCCUGACGGAGCAACGCCGCGUGAGUGAUGAAGGUCUUCGGAUCGUAAAACUCUGUUAUUAGGGAAGAACAAAUGUGUAAGUAACUAUGCACGUCUUGACGGUACCUAAUCAGAAAGCCACGGCUAACUACGUG
rnacentral:rRNA from 1 species